rnacentral:rRNA from 1 species
CCCUGAACGGUGGAUCACUCGGCUCGUGGAUCGAUGAAGAGCGCAGCAAAGUGCGCUAAUCCAUGCGAACCGCAGGACACAUGGAGCAUCGAAAUCUUGAACGUAAAUGGCGGCCCAGCUUCACUGCUCGGGCCACAUCUGACUGAGGGUCGGUU